rnacentral:rRNA from 1 species
AUUGAACGCUGGCGGCAUGCCUUACACAUGCAAGUCGAACGGUAACAGGUCUUCGGAUGCUGACGAGUGGCGAACGGGUGAGUAAUACAUCGGAACGUGCCUAGUAGUGGGGGACAACUACUCGAAAGAGUGGCUAAUACCGCAUGAGAUCUACGGAUGAAAGCAGGGGAUCGCAAGACCUUGUGCUACUAGAGCGGCCGAUGGCAGAUUAGGUAGUUGGUGGGAUAAAAGCUUACCAAGCCGACGAUCUGUAGCUGGUCUGAGAGGACGAUCAGCCACGCUGGGACUGAGACACGGCCCAGACUCCGACGGGAGGCAGCAGUGGGGAAUUUUGGACAAUGGGCGAAAGCCUGAUCCAGCAAUGCCGCGUGCAGGAUGAAGGCCUUCGGGUUGUAAACUGCUUUUGUACGGAACGAAAAGCCCCGGGUUAAUACCCUGGGGUCAUGACGGUACCGUAAGAAUAAGCACCGGCUAACUACGUGCCAGCCGCCGCCGUAA